GGAGCGACAUAGGUAGGACACAGAAACCACGAGCGAUAGAUCAAAAGCAAACUGCGACGGACAAGCAACAAGAAAGCGAAUCGACGGAGAAGCAGAAGCAGAAGCAGUACAAGUCUGCUCUGUGUAUGCAGCCGAAGGGUGCCAACCCUGCACUGAGGCAUGGGCCUGAUGCCUCCUUACUGCUGGACGAGUACGUCAGCGUGUCCGACCGGACCCGGCUCGCGGAAGGGCUCGGACCCGCAGCUGGUGCGGGGUCCCGUGCCUGACAACGUGCGUGGCCCACGAGAGAGGACGCACUGCCCGGCGUGGCCCUGCGCUCGCCUCGUCGCCUGAACACCAUGAGAGAUAUAGAGAGAGGUAGAGAGAGAGCUAGAGCGAUGAGAGAGGUAGAAGAGAGUGGGAGAGUAGAG